rnacentral:rRNA from 1 species
AUUCAGGGCCAUGCCACCCUGAACAAACCCUAUCCCGUUUGAUCUCGGAAGCUAAGCAGGAUUGGGCCUGGUUAGUACUUGGAUGAGAGACCACCUAGGAAGACCAGGUGCUGUAGGCA